AUUGAACGCUGGCGGCAGGCCUAACACAUGCAAGUCGAACGAGUGGCGGACGGGUGAGUAAUGUCUGGGAAACUGCCUGAUGGAGGGGGAUAACUACUGGAAACGGUGGCUAAUACCGCAUACUCUCGGAUGUGCCCAUAUGGGAUUAGCUAGUGGGUGGGGUAACGGCUCACCAAGGCGACGAUCACUAGCUGGUCUGAGAGGAUGAUCAGCCAAACUGGGACUGAGACACGGUCCAGAAUCCUACGGGAGGCAGCAGUGGGGAAUAUUGCACAAUGGGCGCAAGCCUGAUGCAGCCAGGCCGCGUGUAUGAAGAAGGCCUUCGGGUUGUAAAGUACUUUCAGCGGGGAGGCGUUACCCGCAGAAGAAGCACCGGCUAACUCCGUGCCAGCAGCCGCGGUAAUUC
rnacentral:rRNA from 1 species